GGUUAAGCGACUAAGCGUACACGGUGGAUGCCCUGGCAGUCAGAGGCGAUGAAGGACGUGCUAAUCUGCGAAAAGCGUCGGUAAGGUGAUAUGAACCGUUAUAACCGGCGAUGUCCGAAUGGGGAAACCCAGUGUGUUUCGACACACUAUCAUUAACUGAAUCCAUAGGUUAAUGAGGCGAACCGGGGGAACUGAAACAUCUAAGUACCCCGAGGAAAAGAAAUCAACCGAGAUUCCCCCAGUAGCGGCGAGCGAACGGGGAGGAGCCCAGAGCCUGAAUCAGUGUGUGUGUUAGUGGAAGCGUCUGGAAAGGCGCGCGAUACAGGGUGACAGCCCCGUACACAAAAAUGCACAUGCUGUGAGCUCGAUGAGUAGGGCGGGACACGUGGUAUCCUGUCUGAAUAUGGGGGGACCAUCCUCCAAGGCUAAAUACUCCUGACUGACCGAUAGUGAACCAGUACCGUGAGGGAAAGGCGAAAAGAACCCCGGCGAGGGGAGUGAAAAAGAACCUGAAACCGUGUACGUACAAGCAGUGGGAGCCCUGAUUUAUCAGGGUGACUGCGUACCUUUUGUAUAAUGGGUCAGCGACUUAUAUUCUGUAGCAAGGUUAACCGAAUAGGGGAGCCGGAGGGAAACCGAGUCUUAACUGGGCGUUAAGUUGCAGGGUAUAGACCCGAAACCCGGUGAUCUAGCCAUGGGCAGGUUGAAGGUUGGGUAACACUAACUGGAGGACCGAACCGACUAAUGUUGAAAAAUUAGCGGAUGACUUGUGGCUGGGGGUGAAAGGCCAAUCAAACCGGGAGAUAGCUGGUUCUCCCCGAAAGCUAUUUAGGUAGCGCCUCGUGAAUUCAUCUCCGGGGGUAGAGCACUGUUUCGGCAAGGGGGUCAUCCCGACUUACCAACCCGAUGCAAACUGCGAAUACCGGAGAAUGUUAUCACGGGAGACACACGGCGGGUGCUAACGUCCGUCGUGAAGAGGGAAACAACCCAGACCGCCAGCUAAGGUCCCAAAGUCAUGGUUAAGUGGGAAACGAUGUGGGAAGGCCCAGACAGCCAGGAUGUUGGCUUAGAAGCAGCCAUCAUUUAAAGAAAGCGUAAUAGCUCACUGGUCGAGUCGGCCUGCGCGGAAGAUGUAACGGGGCUAAACCAUGCACCGAAGCUGCGGCAGCGACACUGUGUGUUGUUGGGUAGGGGAGCGUUCUGUAAGCCUGCGAAGGUGUGCUGUGAGGUAUGCUGGAGGUAUCAGAAGUGCGAAUGCUGACAUAAGUAACGAUAAAACGGGUGAAAAGCCCGCUCGCCGGAAGACCAAGGGUUCCUGUCCAACGUUAAUCGGGGCAGGGUGAGUCGACCCCUAAGGCGAGGCCGAAAGGCGUAGUCGAUGGGAAACAGGUUAAUAUUCCUGUACUUGGUGUUACUGCGAAGGGGGGACGGAGAAGGCUAUGUUGGCCGGGCGACGGUUGUCCCGGUUUAAGCGUGUAGGCUGGUUUUCCAGGCAAAUCCGGAAAAUCAAGGCUGAGGCGUGAUGACGAGGCACUACGGUGCUGAAGCGACAAAUGCCCUGCUUCCAGGAAAAGCCUCUAAGCAUCAGGUAACAUCAAAUCGUACCCCAAACCGACACAGGUGGUCAGGUAGAGAAUACCAAGGCGCUUGAGAGAACUCGGGUGAAGGAACUAGGCAAAAUGGUGCCGUAACUUCGGGAGAAGGCACGCUGAUAUGUAGGUGAAGCGACUUGCUCGUGGAGCUGAAAUCAGUCGAAGAUACCAGCUGGCUGCAACUGUUUAUUAAAAACACAGCACUGUGCAAACACGAAAGUGGACGUAUACGGUGUGACGCCUGCCCGGUGCCGGAAGGUUAAUUGAUGGGGUCAGCGCAAGCGAAGCUCUUGAUCGAAGCCCCGGUAAACGGCGGCCGUAACUAUAACGGUCCUAAGGUAGCGAAAUUCCUUGUCGGGUAAGUUCCGACCUGCACGAAUGGCGUAAUGAUGGCCAGGCUGUCUCCACCCGAGACUCAGUGAAAUUGAACUCGCUGUGAAGAUGCAGUGUACCCGCGGCAAGACGGAAAGACCCCGUGAACCUUUACUAUAGCUUGACACUGAACACUGGUCCUUGAUGUGUAGGAUAGGUGGGAGGCUUUGAAGUGUGGACGCCAGUCUGCAUGGAGCCGUCCUUGAAAUACCACCCUUUAAUGGCUGGUGUUCUAACGUGGGCCCGUAAUCCGGGUUGCGGACAGUGUCUGGUGGGUAGUUUGACUGGGGCGGUCUCCUCCUAAAGAGUAACGGAGGAGCACGAAGGUUGGCUAAUCCUGGUCGGACAUCAGGAGGUUAGUGCAAUGGCAUAAGCCAGCUUGACUGCGAGCGUGACGGCGCGAGCAGGUGCGAAAGCAGGUCAUAGUGAUCCGGUGGUUCUGAAUGGAAGGGCCAUCGCUCAACGGAUAAAAGGUACUCCGGGGAUAACAGGCUGAUACCGCCCAAGAGUUCAUAUCGACGGCGGUGUUUGGCACCUCGAUGUCGGCUCAUCACAUCCUGGGGCUGAAGUAGGUCCCAAGGGUAUGGCUGUUCGCCAUUUAAAGUGGUACGCGAGCUGGGUUUAGAACGUCGUGAGACAGUUCGGUCCCUAUCUGCCGUGGGCGCUGGAGAACUGAGGGGGGCUGCUCCUAGUACGAGAGGACCGGAGUGGACGCAUCACUGGUGUUCGGGUUGUCAUGCCAAUGGCACUGCCCGGUAGCUAAAUGCGGAAGAGAUAAGUGCUGAAAGCAUCUAAGCACGAAACUUGCCCCGAGAUGAGUUCUCCCUGAGACUUAGAGUCUCCUGAAGGAACGUUGAAGACGACGACGUUGAUAGGCCGGGUGUGUAAGCGCAGCGAUGCGUUGAGCUAACCGGUACUAAUGAACCGUGAGGCUUAACCUU
rnacentral:rRNA from 1 species